GAGGUCGUAGCUCAACGGCAGAGCGGAUGGUUGUGGACCAUCAGGUUGUGGGUUCAAAUCCCAUCGGCCUCCCCA
rnacentral:tRNA from 2 species